ensembl:lncRNA
ACAGAGACACACAGAGGCAGAGGCAGAGACAGAGACACACAGAGACAGAGACACACAGAGACAGAGACAGAGACACACAGAGACAGAGGCAGAGACACACAGAGGCAGAGCGCUGCUGCUGCUGUUGGGGUGGGUUGACCUGUCUGUCUGUCUGUCUGUCUGUCUGUCUGUGGAGAUGAUGUGUGGACCUGUCUGUCUGUCUGUCUGUCUGUCUGUCUGUCUGCCUGUAGAGAUGAUGUGUGGACCUGUCUGUCUGUCUGUCUGUCUGUCUGUCUGCCUGUAGAGAUGAUGUGUGGACCUGUCUGUCUGUCUGUCUGUCUGUCUGUCUGUCUGUCUGUGGAGAUGAUGUGUGGACCUGUCUGUCUG